rnacentral:rRNA from 1 species
UACGGAGGGGGCUAGCGUUAUUCGGAAUUAUUGGGCGUAAAGCGCGCGCAGGCGGUCCUUUAAGUCUGAUGUGAAAGCCCACGGCUCAACCGUGGAGGGUCAUUGGAAACUGGGGGACUUGAGUGCAGAAGAGGAAAGCGGAAUUCCACGUGUAGCGGUGAAAUGCGUAGAGAUGUGGAGGAACACCAGUGGCGAAGGCGGCUUUCUGGUCUGUAACUGACGCUGAGGCGCGAAAGCGUGGGGAGCAAACAGG